rnacentral:ncRNA from 2 species
AGACUUGCUCGCAGUUUUGGUGCCCGCGCACGGUCGUCUCCCGUGCGCAGUUAAACGGGAAGCAGGAAGCGGCCGGUCCGACCGGGCCGCCGCCAACCUGCGCUGCCCCCGCAACGGUAAGCGAAGGCCGCUCGAAUGAGCGGCAAAGCCGGCUUCGGUGUCUGUGCGACGCGCACGGGCAUUGCUCCACUGCGCCGCAUCAUGCGCGCGGGAAGGUGAAGCGGCGUUUUCGUCAGCCCGGAUACCGGCCAGACUAUCGAGGGAUCG